CGAAGCUGGAUUCGCUAGUAAUCGCGCAUCAGCCAUGGCGCGGUGAAUACGUUCCCGGGCCUUGUACACACCGCCCGUCAAGCCAUGAAAGCCGGGGGUGCCUGAAGUCCGUGACCGCGAGGGUCGGCCUAGGGUAAAACUGGUGAUUGGGGCUAAGUCGUAACAAGGUAUC
rnacentral:rRNA from 1 species